rnacentral:lncRNA from 1 species
GGGGGGAGGGGAGGACCCGUCAAGACGUGGCUACCACUAGCCAUCGUGGUUGGUGUCCCCCCCAACCCAACCUUUGACCUCCCAAACCAGCACCUCCCAACGGCCCGGCCAACUGGGAGCCCAGCCCGGCGAGCUGCCAGGUCUACCUCGGGUACAAUGGGGUUGUGGCUACUCAACUGGUGGCCAGAGGGAUCGCCCAGGGCUACCUGGGGAAGGUCAAGGGCUACCAAGUCAAGUGGUGGCCAGAGGGAUCGCCGAGGGCUACCUGGGGCAGGUCGAGGUCUACCAACUCAACUGGUAGCCAUAGGGAUGGCCAAGGUCUACCUCAGGCACAACGGGUUGUGGCUACUCAAGGGGUGGCCAGAGGGAUCACCGAGGGCUACCUGGGGAAGGUUGAGGGCUACCAAGUCAACUGGUGGCCAGAGGGAUCACCGAGGGCAGGUCAAGGGCUACCAACUCAACUGGUGGCCACAGGGAUCACCAAGGGCUACCUGGGGCAGGUCAAGGGCUACCAACUCAACUGGUGGCCAUAGGGAUCACCAAGGGCUACCUGGGGCAGGUCAAGGGCUACCAACUCAACUGGUGGCCAUAGGGAUCACCAAGGGCUACCUGGGGCAGGUCAAGGGCUACCAACUCAACUGGUGGCCAUAG